rnacentral:rRNA from 1 species
UACGAAGGGGGCUAGCGUUGCUCGGAAUCACUGGGCGUAAAGCGCACGUAGGCGGAUUGUUAAGUCAGGGGUGAAAUCCUGGAGCUCAACUCCAGAACUGCCUUUGAUACUGGCGAUCUCGAGUCCGGGAGAGGUGAGUGGAACUGCGAGUGUAGAGGUGAAAUUCGUAGAUAUUCGCAAGAACACCAGUGGCGAAGGCGGCUCACUGGCCCGAUACUGACGCUGAGGAGCGAAAGCGUGGGGAGCGAACAGG